AUGUUUGAUAGGUGGAUGAACUCACAAACAGUAUUAUCUCAGGGAGAGGGAAUGACAGAUAAUAGCAGCUAUGGCAGACUGCAGUCAUGUGCAGUCAUGGUCUCUUACACGUCUCUCCAGCUGCAAUCCAAAAUUAGUGUGGAGGGGAGGAAAAGGCCUUACCAUCACGAGUGCUGUGGGAGGAGGCCUGAGAUCUCUGUGGUUCACAAAGAGACAGAAAAGCCAAAUACUCCCCCUAAACCACAUCCAGCAGUUUUUCACCCCUGUUGUGUGUGUUCUUCUGAACUGUGUGUCCUUGGCUAUUUUGCUGCGAGCAGAGUUCUUGUGAAAGAACACUGUUCAUUACUCAGCAUUUAACAGUACACCAGUGCUUUUGUUUGUGCAAACAGUGUUUGUUUUUACAGUGUUUAUGAGAUCGUGUCAUUUUAGGUAGCUUUUUUCCCGUUGAGGUUCCAAAGAGUCUGAAUUAAUUCCUUGUUCUUCUGUGUAUUGUUGUUCUUAUACAGUUGUCUAGAUUCAACUUGUGACUAUAGGAUAUUGGUAAACCUGUUUUAAUAACACUGACUGUAAAGGUCUUUCUCUGUAAUGUAUAUUGAAAUCUGAUCAUCUAUUUGUCUAUUAUGUUAUUUAGGCACAUAAAUUAAGGGGGGUUUUUUAUGUCACUAAAUGGAAUCUCAAGAAGCAUCACAGACUGUAUCUAAGUCUAAAACUCUGUUGCAUUAAUUAGAAAAUUCAACUUCAAGUUAACGUAAAUUGGCGUUCACAGCCCAUUUUACUUUUUUCAUCAGAUGUAUAUCUGAGUGAAACAUGAUAUUCAACAAGAAAAAAAAAGUUUUGGGUGGGAAAUUGAUUGGAUUGGGAAAAGUGAGCAUUAAAACCCAGAAUGGAGCCAGACUGAAUGCAAGUUUGAUGAAUAAAAUGCCUGAAUAGCUCUGGCUAUUGGUUCACAUACCCAAUAUCCAUAUAUGUGUAUAUAUAUAUAUUUCAGAAAUAGAGCAAGUUAUUUUGAUUACAUGUUGACUUGCAGCCUCUCAGAAUGUCAAAAUAGGCAACAUUAGAAGCACUUGUGCAAAUGUGAAGUCUCAAAACUGUCCUAUAUUAGCUUUAGUACCAAUUUAAAGGCCCGUUCACAACAAGGACAAUUACUAUAAUAAUAACUAGAAAGCUGUAAUAAUCACUAUAAUUCUUUGAGAAUAGUGGAGUCCAAACCUCAACUUUAACUAUAAUAGCACAGAGAAACGAUAUGGUUAGAAUUUCACUUUUUCCCACUUUGAAAAACUUGAGCAUUUAAAGGGGCAAAUGACAUAACUACAGUGUAUACCGAAUAUAAUAAUCAUAACAUUUUGUUGAUGUGGACGUAAUAUAUUUAUUGUUAGUUAUCAUUUUUUAUAUGAACGGCCUUAAAAAUUUGGUGCUAAAGGUAUGUGGUAGGCUACUAGAGACUAGAUCAAGUCCCUUCUGUUUUUUUACUAACAUUUAUAAUCUUAUAAAUCUAGAUUAAGAGAAUUCAAAAUAAGUAACGAUAUCAACAGCAUUUGAUAGUUAGUUGUGACUAAGUCUAGUACUUCUAGAUUUGAGUACACACACAAAAAAAAACAUAAAAACAGAAGUAGAUGAAUAAAAAUCUGCUAGAAUCUCAAUAAUGCAAAUAUAGCUGUACCAAUUCUUAGUAAGCAAGCAUCCUGAUAUACAUACAUGCUGCUAAAAAACUGUGUGAACCCUAAAUGGUUUGAGAUCUAAAGUCUUAGCCAUCAUUACUAGUGUCCGGAAGCAAGAAUAGAAAUGUUGUCAGGUCCAGUAUUAAAGCUAGAGGCCUUACUGUAAAAGUUUAUUUAGUCUGAAUGUCAAAAAUAAGACUGAUGAGUGCCGGGUGUUGCGGACCCCUGUCCUAGAGUGAAACGGACUGCUUGAGGAUAUUCCAGAAACUGAUCCUCCCACAUGGAAGUUUACCUAUGAGAAGUAUUAUUUAUCAAUAAUAUUAAAGUGAAUAAAAAAAUUAAAUUGACUGUUUCUGACUGUUUUUUUAUGCUUUCUGUCCAAUCAAAUAUACAGAAAAGUGUUAGUUUACAUUUAGCUGACACUAUUUAUCUAAAGCAACUUGUAGUUGCAUGAACCAUUAGUUUCCACAAUAACCAUAUUAUUAUAUACAGAACCUUUGAAAUGAGCACUUUAAUAAGGGAUCAGCUAUAUUUAAAGAUAUACAGGAGAUUAAUUAUUGCUAUGGUUAUUUUAAUGGACUAGUCUAAAUUAAAUACUUGCCCUGAGGGAGGAGAUGAAAUUAUUUUCUGUUAAACUGACCACGUGCCACAAAUGCAGACCCAAAAUAGUCUUUAAAAGCUGCACUCACUAGGUUCUUCUACAAUAACAUCUGUAAACUUAACUGUGCCACUAUCCAUGCUGAAGUACGACACCCCUGUUCUAUCAUCCAGCACAACAAAUAAAAAAUGACCUUUGACCUGUCUGAAUAUAAUGGAGGUAUCUAGCUUUUUAGUGUCAUCUAGUGGUGAGAUGACAGCUUAAUUCAUAAAAAGCAAGACAACAGAAAAUGUUGGCAUAUUUAUUUCAGAGUACAUUAUUUGAUGGUCAGUUUAGCAGCAUAUGGAAGGUCUUGAGGUAUUUCUAUAUUCAUUUUGCAGGUCAUUCACAAAUAUAUUCAUUCACAUAGACAUCCAGUAUAUAAAACACACACACACACAGAUACGUCCUCCUACAGUGAACCUCAAACACUUUCACCAUCCUGUGCAUAAAGUCUGUGGCAAAUACAUGGCAGUAAACCUGUGCUUCUGGAGGUUUAGGGCACACUCCCUCAGUGAAGAGGCUUUGGCUGUUAGGAGAAAAGAAGAGCAGAUGGUCAGGAAAAGGAUAUAAAAUCAGAGCUGAGACUCAACCACUGUGCUGAAUUAAACCUUGAUGAUUCAUCUUAACAGACUAUCAAUCUGUGACUCCCUAUACUUGUUGUUCUAUCUAACACUGUGUAUUUUUAUCUUUGAAGUGUUUAAAAAGUAAGCUUUGCCAGUUUUCUUCAAUAACAACUUUAAUACAUCACUUAAAAAUGCACACCACCAGCACUUAAAGGUGCACUCGGUAUUUCCAUCAUUAAAGAGUUUUACGCCUAAUGAAAUCAAUAGGACUUUUAAAAUCAUGCCACAUUUUAAAAGCACUCACAUUAGAUGAACCAUAUAGCCUAAAAGCCAUUUAAUUUGGGUAGUUAAAAAAAAAAAAAAUCAACAAACAAAGUUAGGAAAAAGAAUUUGAUUUUGUAAAGGAAAAUGUAUAGUUUUAGAUACUGUUACUGGCCACUAUUUCUUCAGUUUUUCACUUCAUGUACUAAAAAUUAUUAUAAUAUAGAAAUUAAACCAAUCAAUUUACAUUUUAUUUAUCAUUUACAAAAGAUUAUAAAAUGCUUG
rnacentral:lncRNA from 1 species